rnacentral:rRNA from 1 species
CUACGGGAUGCUGCAGUGAGGAAUAUUGCGCAAUGGGGGAAACCCUGACGCAGCGACGCCGCGUGGAUGAUGAAGGCCUUCGGGUCGUAAAAUCCUGUCAGAUGGGAAGAAAUGUUAUAUCUCUAAUAUAGGUAUGAUUUGACGGUACCAUCAAAGGAAGCACCGGCUAACUCCGUGCCAGCAGCCGCGGUGAAUACGGAGGGUGCAAGCGUUGUUCGGAAUUACUGGGCGUAAAGCGCGCGUAGGCGGCUAUUUAAGUCAGAUGUGAAAGUCCACGGCUCAACCGGGGAAGUGCAUUUGAAACUGGAUGGCUUGAGUACUGGAGGGGGUGGUGGAAUUCCCGGUGUAGAGGUGAAAUUCGUAGAUAUCGGGAGGAAUACCGGUGGCGAAGGCGACCACCUGGCCAGAUACUGACGCUGAGGUGCGAAAGCGUGGGGAGCAAACAGGAUUAGAUACCCCCGUAGUC